rfam:Rhizobium sp. PDO1-076 strain PDO-076 ctg6, whole genome shotgun sequence.
CAUCGGACUGCUUAUGAGCGCUGGAAGUUUCUGUCGCUCGCAGUCUGGAUGUCGCCUUAGACUUUUGACCACGGAUGUACUGGCACUGGUGAGUAGGCGAUAAUGAGGAAGGUCGGUGCGAUUUCGCCCCGGCCUUUUUUGUU